rnacentral:piRNA from 1 species
UGCUAUUGUUUGUGGCUUAGGAACGCCUU